UACAGAGGGUGCAAGCGUUGUUCGGAAUUAUUGGGCGUAAAGGGCGCGUAGGCGGUGCGGUAAGUCUUUUGUGAAAUCUCCGGGCUCAACUCGGAGUCUGCAGGAGAAACUGCCGUGCUUGAGUAUGGGAGAGGUGAGUGGAAUUCCAGGUGUAGCGGUAGAAAUGCGUAGAUAUCUGGAGGAACACCGGUGGCGAAGGCGGCAUCCUGGACCGAUACUGACGCUGAGGAGCGAAAGCCAGGGGAGCAAACGGG
rnacentral:rRNA from 1 species